GUGCCAGACUCCUACGGGAGGCAGCAGUGAGGAAUAUUGGUCAAUGGGCGCGAGCCUGAACCAGCCAAGUCGCGUGAGGGAGGACGGCCCUACGGGUUGUAAACCUCUUUUGCCGGGGAGCAACGGGCGUCACGUGUGGCGCCACUGAGAGUACCCGGAGAAAAAGCAUCGGCUAACUCCGUGCCAGCAGCCGCGGUAAUACGGAGGAUGCGAGCGUUAUCCGGAUUUAUUGGGUUUAAAGGGUGCGCAGGCGGCGUGUUAAGUCAGCGGUAAAAGCCCGGGGCUCAACCCCGGCGAGCCGUUGAAACUGGCGGGCUGGAGUUGGAGAGAAGUACGCGGAAUGCGCGGUGUAGCGGUGAAAUGCUUAGAUAUCGCGCAGAACCCCGAUUGCGAAGGCAGCGUACCGGCUCCACACUGACGCUGAGGCACGAAAGCGUGGGUAUCGAACAGGAUUAGAUACCCCCGUAAUU
rnacentral:rRNA from 1 species